AGCAGUCGCCGCGGUAAUACGGAGGGGGCUAGCGUUGCUCGGAAUGACUGGGCGUAAAGGGCUCGCAGGCGGUUUCUUAAGUCUGAUGUGAAAGCCCCCGGCUCAACCGGGGAGGGUCAUUGGAAACUGGGAAACUUGAGUGCAGAAGAGGAGAGUGGAAUUCCACGUGUAGCGGUGAAAUGCGUAGAGAUGUGGAGGAACACCAGUGGCGAAGGCGACUCUCUGGUCUGUAACUGACGCUGAGGAGCGAAAGCGUGGGGAGCGAACAGGAUUAGAUACCCCGGUAGUCCCUGUCUCUUAUAC
rnacentral:rRNA from 1 species